GGGGAUUGAGGUGAAUUAUUAUGCAAGAUUGUAGGUGGAGGAAAGUUUAUGAGAGAGACUCUUAAUUUCUUUUAUAUCUUUAUAUAUUAAAAGUGCCUAUCUAACGAUUCUUGGUUUAACGAAAUUUCUUGGUUUAACAGAAAGAAUAUUCUGUUAAAUUUAACGAUGUUAAUAGGUUUGAUCUCCCGUUAAUAAAUAAACCCAAUAAUUAAACCCAAAAAAUUAAACAAUCUUUUUUUAAAUUAAAUAAUUAAAUCUAAAAAAAUUAAACAAUCUUUUUUAAAUUAAAAAAAAAAAUCAUCUUAGCCACAUCCCGUAUAAUAACAUAUUAUUAUUUAACAGUUAGCAUUAUUAUUAUCUAAAUAUAUUAAUAUUAAUGUUUUAAAAAUAUUUUCAAAAAAAAAUGUUUUAAAAAUUAAUAUUAUUUUGAAUCCUAUAUGUAUCAUCAUCGUCUAGGAUCAGUCGACUCCCACUCCCAGUCGACUAAUAUACCCGACUUCAGUUCCUCUCUAAGUGCCUCCUCCACUCUUUCUACGAACACCGACUCAUCUCCGACCUUCUCUCUCAUCUUCGACCUUCUCUCUCAUCUCCGACCCAGCACCUCCGCCCACCGGCCAAGCACACAACCAGCGGUCCCUCUAGAGAUCUCCGUUAAGUUCUAUUUCUAGAUCUAUAUUUAAAUCUAUCUCUCUCUCUCUCAUAUUUCUAAUCUAUAUAUAUCAUAAUAUUUUCUAGGUUGUUGUUUUUGCAGGCGAACUGGUUUUACAAAGCUCAGGAAGAAAUUGUGUCCAUACAAGGUUCUUAGCAUGAGGAGACUUGGAGGAGCUGGGGCUGUUGUUCCUCUCAUCACAGAUGGUCAGGCUGAGGUGAUGAGAACCUCUGUGAUCAUGGAGUUAAUAUAAUGUUAUUCCCUAACAAGUACACGGGAUAUGAGUGAGUGUUUAUACAUUUUUAGUUUAUUAACUUUUGAGUUAGUUUGAUCUAAUUUCUUAACUCUGUGGGUGAAAGGACCACGCUUUCCGAUGCGCAAGGUAUGAAGAUAAACCAUUUCAUUGUGUCACUCAUUUGCUAAAUGCUUUGUUUGUUUGGAUAUGCUUUUUCUACAGUAUUAUUUACCUAAAAUACCACAAAUUCUAUGGACUUACUUCAUGUCCCUUGCUUAGAAUAUUUAUUAUUUUUUGAGGCAUCUAUAUUGUGGUUAUGGUAUGUAUAGAAGUAACUUUAAAAAUUUUGGUACACUCUGCCCAGCUAUGUUCUAACAUAAAUAAAGGGUAGCCAGACCUACAAAGUUGAUUGCUUAUAUGAUGUCCUUCAUAGUACAAGAAUGAUUUAAGAGGCUCGCAAAAGGAAGAUUUAAUGUAGAUUUAAAAGCUGAAGAAGAAGAACUAAACGUGAGAAACAUUGUUGGCAAGUUAUCUCAAAGUUUUUUUUAGUAUUUAAGAUUUGACUUACUGCCUUACAAUUGAUUUAGGCAGUUAUCUCCUAUUUUCACAAUCAUACUAUUAAUGCUUCCAAUAAUGUUUUCCUAUUAUCUCUGAUAAUGUUAAUGAUAUUUAUUUGAUUAGUUUUAGGAUUUUUAAAACGUUGUCUUAGUUAUUCUUGUUUUCAUAUGCAGGUGUAAGAGAAAUUGGAGCUCUGCACUCUUCAGGUUGCCAAAAAUAAACUUAUGAAGCACGUUGAAGAUUUGACAUUGAGAUUACAACUAGAAAAACUGAUUGACAUGGACAACGGUAAAAAAAUGAAAGCUACAUUCUCCUUUAAAGAAAUGUAGAUUCAACUUAAAGAAACAAAAGAAAUGCUUGAGAAGGAAUGAGAGGUUGAGAAGUUGAAAAUUUUCAUUUAUACAUUAGGUUCCAUUUGUUGACCAUACAAUGUUGGAAAAACUUAAUUAAUAGUUAAAAUAAAAAAGCUUAAGGUGAGUUGGCCGCAUUUAAAUACAAUUUUUUUAGUGUUUGUUCCAAAAAUGAGGUGUUGACCUACAAACACUAUGAGUGAGACAUGUAUAGUUUAUGUAUUAGUGCUUGUUUGUUUCGUAUUCAAUUGUAGGCAUCCCCAAAAUGUUUGUUAUCAUUCUUAAGAAAUUGAUGGAUCA